UACGGAGGGAGCUAGCGUUGUUCGGAAAUACUGGGCGUAAAGCGCACGUAGGCGGCGCAGCAAGUCAGGGGUGAAAUCCCGGAGCUCAACUCCGGAACUGCCCUUGAAACUGCAGUGCUAGAAUCUUGGAGAGGCGAGUGGAAUUCCGAGUGUAGAGGUGAAAUUCGUAGAUAUUCGGAAGAACACCAGUGGCGAAGGCGACUCGCUGGACAAGUAUUGACGCUGAGGUGCGAAAGCGUGGGGAGCAAACAGG
rnacentral:rRNA from 1 species